UACGUAGGGUGCAGGCGUUAAUCGGAAUUACUGGGCGUAAAGCGUGCGCAGGCGGUUUGCUAAGAGAGAUGUGAAAUCCCCGGGCUCAACCUGGGAACUGCAUUCAAAACUGACAAGCUAGAGUAUGGUAGAGGGUGGUGGAAUUUCCUGUGUAGCGGUGAAAUGCGUAGAUAUAGGAAGGAACACCAGUGGCGAAGGCGACCACCUGGACUGAUACUGACACUGAGGUGCGAAAGCGUGGGGAGCAAACAGG
rnacentral:rRNA from 1 species